AGAAUCAACGCUGGCGGCGUGCCUAACACAUGCAAGUCGAACGCGAAAGCCCCGCAAGGGGUGAGUAGAGUGGCAAACGGGUGAGUAACACGUGGGUGACCUGCCUUCGAGUGGGGGAUAACGUCCCGAAAGGGACGCUAAUACCGCAUGACAUCCUGCCUUUGGAGAGGCGGAGAUCAAAGCUAGGGAUCGCAAGACCUGGCGCUUGAAGAGGGGCCCGCGCCUGACUUAGCUAGUUGGUGAGGUAACGGCUCACCAAGGCAACGAUCAGUA
rnacentral:rRNA from 1 species